UGCGUGGAGUCACCCACAGCCCCGUCGGCCCGAAGGGAAGGAAAUUGGCUCUUUUCCCGGCGGUAGGGGCCAAGCCUGCCUAGUACCGAGGGCUCGGGAUUGAAGGCUGCUGCUUUGGAAACAUCAUCGGUCAGAAGGAGAGUACUUGGAAGAAGAACAAACUACUCCUCCGUUUGAACAAACAUCCUCAGUUGUGAACUGAAGUGAGCAAUUAAAUAAAUAGAAGAUAAACACUCACUGUCUGAUGCAGCUGACUGAAAAACAGCUCUUAAGCGACCUCUACCAAAGCUUUUACAAGACUAACUUCAGCAUAAUUCUGCACUGAGAGAUCACACUGGAGUGCAACAAUUGAUCUGUUCUAAGGUUAUUUUUAAAUUUUUUUUCAGUUUUCAGUUCAGCUAUCUGACUAUGUAUCUUUAAUCAAAGUACAUAAUGCUAGGUCCUCAUAGCUGUUCCUGUGACAUUCAGUACUGCCACCGCAAAGCACGUCACAGUUAUUAUGGAAAAUUAAACCCUUCAGCUGAAUAAGAUGAGCAUUCCUCUUAUCAUCCUUGGUAUCAACAGUAAAAAAUGAGAGUUCAUAACUAAUUUGAAAGAGUCGCAUCAGAAAUCUUUAAUUAUGAACCCAGAUCUCUUAACAGUUUUUGCCUCUUAACAGCAUCAUCUUGCCUUCCUAUAGACAAAAAGCCCCAUGACUCUGAAAAAUGAUUCCUCAGGUUCAAUUCUGCUCUCAGUUUGCAAUCCUGUAAAUACAGCAGGGCACAGAGAUAACUAACUGUUGGGUUAAGUCUCAUCUAUAUGGCUGAGACUGGCGUCAAGCCUGAGUGCAUCCUGCAUAACAAAUUCCUUAAUACAUGCCUUUCUUCUUUCACUGCUUUUUUGACUGUCCAAUGCUAUUAGAAGGGUGAAAAAAGAGGAGAGUGUGGUCAGGCACGCACUGCCUGCUGCAGCCCUGCUAAAUACUGAGUUGCAGUCUGCACUCAGCAUAUGAAUAAGCAAAGAAUUGUGCUUACCCAGGCUCUUAGACAUGGAGGUUUUAUUCUUUAUACGUAUUCUCUUAAUAAAAAUCACUAGCUGUGGUUUUUCAUAUUAAAAAUAACAAUCUGUAAGGAUUUAAAAAUUCCGUUUUCAUGAUUGGCCUCAGAAAUACCUUCUGGCUAAUGUUGACUCGAAACAAAUAACCCCUGGAAUAAGAAUUAUUUCCUCGUAUUAACAUAUGUCCAAGUACCCAUGUAUUUUUUAUAAGAAGAAUUAAGAAGCAGCACAGUUUUAUGCAAAAAUACAUCUGCAUGUUGAAAUACAAUUAGGUAUUCUUAUUUUACCCUCCCUAGAGGCACUUUUGCUGACUUCUUUUCAGUUUGCAGAACAUUUUCUCUCUUGUAAACACUCUUAUGUUCCACAAAAGAUGCCAGUUCUAUGAGAAAAAGAACUGCAAAGGAAGUUAGUGAAACAGUAUUAUCCAUUCUGUACUGUGUUAGAUUGUGCCAGGUUUGGCUGCAAAAUAAUUAGUCUUUCUGGUUUUUGUUUGUUUGGGAUUUUUUAAAGAUGUCAAGUGCUGUAAGACUUCUUAGCUGUUGAAAUAUGAUGCAAGGAUCACUGGUGAGCCAAUUCUUCAAGACCAAGUUAAUGAAAGAGCACAAGAUUUAUUUCUCUUUUCAGUUCCUUGAUUAUUAAAAAGAGGAAAAAAAAAAAAAGGAAUUCCAGUAUGUAGGGGUUUAAGCAUUAUAGUAAAUUUGCAAGCAGACAGCUGUUGGCUGCUGUGAUCAUUAAUGUUCCCAUGAAGUAAGUUAUGUAUUUAUACACAUUUAGGGAAGUAAGACUGAUGUCAAAUUCUAUUGAGAGAUAUUUGUUUAAUAAAUUAACUGCAGUGAAAAUGGGCAUUUCUUGCUCUACGGCACACUCCUGGAUACACUGAUCCAUUGAUAGUUCCCCAGACCUUUGGCUGCUGAUGCGGGUGAUUGCCUCUGCCCCAUUUCUGGAACCUCUCCUAUCAUCUACUGACACAUCAUUCCUUACUUCUCUGUCUUUUCCACUUCCCUUACUUCAGUUCUUAUUGAUUUUUGAGACAUCAAGGAAAAAGCCUUUUGAUCAGUUCUGUCCUUGUAAAACAACCUCUCUCAGGUGCUCACUUGCCACAGUGCAGAACUUGGUCUUUGUCUCUACAAAUCCAUUUCCCACAUCACUGCUGAACUGAACUGAGCCGCAACCCUUCAGUGCCCUCAAGGCAUCCAGAGAGUUCAGCAACGACUCCAGAAGGAAGGCUGGGAAGAGCGUGAUUCCCAACAGGGUCAGAUAUGCCCCAGGUCUUCCCACAGCUUUCUCCACUACUCCUCACUCCUAAAUUGAGAAACUCUAGUUUCCAGGGUGAGCAAAUGACAGAGGACAGGAGGGAGAGUUGAAUGAUCCUGUGCUAGCAGAUCUUUCUGUGUCUACAAGAUGUUAUCAAGGCAGCAUGAAAACUGCAGGGAUCCCAUGUCUUGUGAGCUUAGGAGUAGACUGAAGGCAGAAGGAUUUCAUCCCCGUCAUUCAUGUGCUUGUGUCUUUGCUGAAACGGGAACUGAUGUGCUCCCUAGGGAGAUUAAUUUAUCCAGAAUGUAAUUUCCUACUAGAAUACUGUUUCACUGAAAUAUUUUGAUGAAAACAAAACCUAUGUUGCAGAAAUUUUCUGGAGCACAGAACACAUGUACCUAUUGCAGUCAUCAGUAGCUUGCAGCAAAAGGUUUUGAGGUUACCUCCUAGUCACAGUCUACAAAAAGACCAUUUAUCUUGACAUGUGCCCCCACUUUUUUUGACCAAAGUGGUAUUUUGUUAACAGAAAUACAGCUUCAAAUAACAUACUUUGGCAAAAAAAAUAGUGGGACUAUUCAAUAUCUUUGCUUACAUGUAUAUAUAAGAAAUGAGGAAAUGAACUUCUAACUUUCUGAUUCCAAAAUGUGGAUCCUUAUGUAAGAUCCAGGAAUAGGAACCUGUCUGUGUAGGAGAGCAGUUUAGGAUAUUUUUGGAAAAAGGGGCAAAUCUGUUCUCAUUUCUAUUAAUCAUCAUCAUCACAAAAAAGUACACUUUUCAGAACAGUUUUACAAGGUGGUUGAGCAUUUAUAAAGGUGAAAAAUUUUUAGGAAGCUUCUCAAAAGAGGCAUUAAUAUUCUAUCUAAAAAUUAAUAAUCUCUCUAAAGUAUUUUUAAUCCUAGAUUGAAAAAAAAAUUCUUUUGAAUAUACUGUUGUAAGAGUUUUCAAACAGCUCUACUUGCUAAGAAUUCCACAGCAAAGGCUGCACAAGACUUAUAUUUCUAGAUGGAGCUUUAAAUCAUAGAUCUGUGAUGAGAAGUGGAUCUCAACAAACUAAUGUGAAGAGGGUAAUACACUGACUUCAGACACAAGAUUUUGAUGAGAAUUUAACCUAGCAAUUUCCUAGCUAAACCAUUACUCUGUUGGCAGCAGAUGCAGUUUGCUGUACACAGUGAUGUUUUAUAUAACAUUAAUUUGAACUCACAUUAUAUGUCUGUUACUUAAAAUCUUUUUACAGUGAAGGUCAGUAAACAAAGAUGGUCUUUAUCUGAAGCCAACUGAAACACGGUAUAAUCUCUCCUUUGACACCAUCAGGCAUUGCUUUUGAUCAUAGUGUACAUAAAAAUCUUCAGUCUGAAUACCUAAGCAGUGGCAGCAAUUAGAAUACCUAACUCUCCCAUCUAACAGCAACAUCAAAAAAUAUGUGUUUUGUAAGUUGCAUUAUAGAAAAUAAAUUAUAUUUUUGAUUUCAUUUCCCUAAAAAAAAAAAAAAAAAAAAAAAAAAAAAAGAAAAAGUAGGUUUACAUAGGAAAUUACUUCUAUUUAGCCCUUAUAUUACCUGGGCAUGCUUUAUAUAGGCUAGGCACAGAUUCAGAUCUGAGCAUACCUGCAUCUCAGUAGCUUGGUAUAGGUGUGCAAAGUCACGUUAUGUGAGUGCCUGGUGGCCAAGCCAGCUCCACCCUGGUCCCAUGUCCCAGCCUGCCCUUUGUUGUCCCAGGGAAGUGUCUGAUAUCCUGGGCUGAUCUGGCUGCCAUGGCUGGGUGGUCCUGGCUGCCAGGCCCUGCUCUGACUUCCCAGGCAGCCCCUGCAACUUCUGGCUCCCCAGCCCCUCGAGAUUGUCAUUGUAAAACUGAUACAGCAAACCAUGGACUGGGAUCUGACCUGAGCUGCAGAGAUUCAGGUGAUGAGAAAUUAUAAGUUAAAUUGUAUUAUAAAUUCCCUACCGUCCUAGUUACAGAUUGUACUAUGUUGACUCUGCUUGUAGAAAUCCUGUGCCAUUCUAAUAAUAAAUUCUCUUCUGUAUCAAUCAUAACAUCCUGUUAAGAAAACAAAGUUUGAAUUGUACCUAUGGUUUAGUGCUAUCCUCACUCUGCCAAUAUCCCCAAGAGAACCCAUCUGUGCUGGGUGACAGUGUCACUCGGAUAACACUGACAUGUCUAUUAACCGAGAACCUCAUGGAGCAACAGGGAACUUUUUAGCAAGUGUGUGAAAAGGGCUGGAUGUAGUAUUUAGGAAAUUGAAAGAGAUGGUAUUCUGGACAGUUGGGCUCUGGAUGCUGAGAAAGUUCUGCAUUGCACACCCUGGCUACCUUGCUCAAAGGAAUAUUACUAAAUGAAAACUUCUGCUUGCAAAUUAACUUACUGUUUUGUUAGUGGGUUUUGAAAGAGGUUAAUUGAAAAUGCUAGGGCUGAAUGUUAUCUAGAAGGAAGUUCUUCCAUUUUUUUGGUCAGUUGAUUUUGGUCAUUUGGCAUCUUUUUAUGCAGUGACUUAAGCAGUUUUCUACUGCAAAACCACUUCUAGGUAAAUUUGGAGAGGUUUACAGUGCUUUUCUUUUUCUAUUGUUCAACAUCUGAUUUGAGGUAGACUUGGCUUUCAGAGAUCACAAGAACUUAGGUGUCCUGUUGAUUUGGUGAAAACUCCGAAAAGUCCAGCAUCUCUGGAAAUCAGGUGUCUCCUGCUCAUCUUUCAGAGACGUCUGAUUUUGGGUAUAUAAAUGUUGGAGAUUAAGUGCAGCUAGUAGUGCUACAGCAUUGUUAUUAACGUUGGCAUUGACUGUCUUGUAUAUGCUUAUUUGAAUUUAGAAAUCAGGGCAUUAUGGAAAAUGUAUAUUGUGCAUUAUAAAUUAUAUUGAAAAACGAAAGAUUUAUUUAACUUACAUAAGAAGAGAAAUACCCAACGGAUUGACAGUUAAAACCCCCAGUCUUAAACAGAAAACAUACAAACUUUUUUAAAAUUUCUUUUGAGAAAUAUCAAAUCUAUUUUGCUACUCACAGCAGUACAGAACUCUCACUCCUUGCCCUCCUCACAACUCUCCAGGCACCACAUACCCCUCACACCAGGGAUGCUUCAGGCAGAAUUGUACUUUCUGCUGCACAGCAUAGUUUGUCAUUUAAAUGUGGGGGUUUUGCCAUCUGCAAUUCACAUUCUUUGCUUUGUUAUCAGGGAAAGUCAGAAACCACUGCACCAGGUUUUCUUGGGACUGGUACAAAUGCAAAAAAAAAGUUAACUACAGCUGAUGCCCAGAAGGAAAAGAUAGCAGGAAAAAUUCAAUUCAACCAAACCAAAAAUUGUUCACAAUGAGCAGGGAGGAGAUAAGGAAUGGGUGAAUUUCUGAUCCAGAAAGAAAGCUAGUGUGUGAAGCAUGCAUCUAAGAUGAGAACAAAAGAUAAAGUGUUAUCUAGAUUAGACGAGAAGUGGGAGAUUAGUUUAAAAAUUGUGAGAACUGGCCAACUGUGAGGCUUAGUUUAAAAAUUGUGAGAACUGGCCAACUGUGAGGCUUAGCAGAUAGCAUCUGAAAGGAUAGGUGCAAUAUUUUCUGCUUUAAAUGCCUUGGAAGAGUAUGGAAGUGUGUUGGCUCCAUACUACAGUGCCCUGGUCAUCCAGCAAGAACUAAUGUGAGCGAUGUAAUUUGGAAAUCUGCAGAGACUGAGACCAUAUGAGACCAGUGAGUGUAUGCAUGCUUAACUUGCAAGCAGUUUUAGUUAAUAAAAUGCCAGAGGAACUCUUUACCUUGUAAUGACUUACGUAAUCAAGGUACAAUAAAUAUUAACAAUUAGAACUGUUGCCAUCAGUUAAUGUACUUUAAAGGCACGGUGCAACAAGUGUGAUAACUUUGCUGGAUUUAUAUAUUCAUUAAUCCCUGACAGCAACAAGGAAGAUCAAGAUGUUUUGUGGCAUGAACUGGAUAUCUUCAAAGACUUCAUUAAUAGGAAAGGAAUAAUACCUGAUGCUAGGAGGGAAACGUAUGUCCUUAAUAACAAGGUCUUUUUUUUUCAAACACAGAAAUAGGUUAGGAAAAAACUUAGUUCACCCAAAUUAAUCGUGUGACAUGAUGGAGUAAGAAACAUAAUGUGUUAUGUAAACUGAAAUGCUGUUGUAGACUGUUUCAGAAUAGCUGUUUCCAGUUAGAGAGAAAACAGAUUGGUGCUGGUGCUGUAUCACUUCUUUUCACAGGGGACAUGAGGCCAUAAUGAGCCAAGCAAGAUCCUGCACAGCAUGGCAGCAAAGACAUUUCCUCACCGUGGCCUUGGCACUCCAGGGCAGCCCAAAAAGGGCCGAGGAGUCCUGUGUGUAACCAGGAGGGAUGACUGACAUCACUGUGGGUCCCAGCAUUCCCCAGUCCCUUGCUGGCCAUUCAGUGCACACUGGGGACGCUGGGCAUGUGUGGAACAUGGGGAUGGGGUGCACACAAUUAAAGGGGGGCCCCAAAGUGGAAGGAGUGGAAGCCAAAGUCGCUGGGUGGAGACCCCCAAAAGGGAGGUGCGAUAUCUCAAAAUGGAGGGAGGAACCCACAAAAUUGGGGCAACACCCCAAAAAACCACAUGAAGCUGUUCUCUCCCUCCAUUGUUUACCAACAAGAACUAUCUACCAACUCUAAUUUCAGCAAAUAAUUUCAAGUGUUUUAGCUGAAAGUCAUUCUGAGCAAACUUUGUAGAAGUGAUCACAGAAUCACAGAGUGUUCUGUGUUGGAAGGGAUCCACCGAGUCCAGUUCUGAAGGGAAUGGCUUGCUGGCAGGGUCAGCACCAAAGACACCCACACCAACUUAAGGAAGAAGUGUCAUUUCCUGUAGGGCAAAGCAGCAAAGAAGUACAGAAGGAUAAGCUAAGCAAUGCACCCAAUUAUUGCUACAAAAGAUUGCCUGUAGGGAUGAAGAAAGACACAUCACCAGUUACCCUAAUACUUGACCAUUGUCCUGACACACACGUCAGCUGGGGAUGCCCUGUCACACCAAGGGAUUGGAGAAGCACUCCCAGUAACGGGGAAUUCCUAUGUGGUUCGCCCACCCUCAGGCCAGGCUGCCAACUUUGCUGUGAGAGGGCCCAGAUUUUAUACUGUUGAAUAAACAAGCUACCAUAACUUCUAGUGCGGGCACAUCUGGUUUCAUCCUCCUCUUGGGCAGGGCUCAGGGAGGAACCAAGGGAGUUUGCUUUGACCCUCUACCUUCAAACACAGCCAGAUAGAGAUGUGAUAAAUGAAGAUGAUUUGUGCUAAUAAUUGUAACUAUAUUGAUAUUUUGGAAAAUAUUUGUUAAAAAGUAAUAAAGGAAAGCAAUAUGUAAUUAGCAUCACAAAAAAGAUUUUUGAGAUGUUCAUAAGAUCCAGGAUGGAGUAUUGAGAUAUUUUAGCACAAACAGCCUUGGGAAGGACAAUGUUGGGAAAACCUCCAAGAGUGGAAUCGACAUUGAGACAAAUAAAAGUCCAGGCAACUUCUUCUGAGGCAAGAACAGCCUUGAAGACAAGUAAGUUGAUAUAAUUCCAGAUAGAGAACCCAAAACAGGAACAUAAUGCUUACUUAUAUAACACCAAGCUCCAUGUGCAUGCGCAACCUGCCAGGUUAUUCAGAGGACAGCCAGGAAGACCAUUGGCCUUCAUCCAAGAAGACCCCUGAAGAGUCCAGAAGACCCCCCAGACACAACGGGAACAUGCGCUGUGUAAUAUGGUGACGUAGACUUCAAGAAUCAAAACUGGGAGGAGAUUUACAGGAACUAUUGAUGAAUAUGUAUUAGCAUACAGUAUAAAAGUUGUGCUUGGAUUCUUUUGCCUUUUGUACGUGCGGCAGGGUGAGAGGUCCUCCCCGUCCCCCGCUUGGUUUUGCUUAUGCUUUAUCAGAACCACUGCCAAAUUUCUAUUUGUAACUACUUCAUUAUAUUUGAUUUUAUUAUUAUUUUAUAUUUUUUUAUACCUCAAUUAAAAUUGCUGCUAAAGUUUAAA